CCUACGGGAGGCAGCAGUGAGGAAUAUUGGUCAAUGGACGAGAGUCUGAACCAGCCAAGUAGCGUGAAGGAUGACUGCCCUAUGGGUUGUAAACUUCUUUUAUAUGGGAAUAAAAUGUUCCACGUGUGGGAUUUUGUAUGUACCCUAUGAAUAAGGAUCGGCUAACUCCGUGCCAGCAGCCGCGGUAAUACGGAGGAUCCGAGCGUUAUCCGGAUUUAUUGGGUUUAAAGGGAGCGUAGGUGGAUUGUUAAGUCAGUUGUGAAAGUUUGCGGCUCAACCGUAAAAUUGCAGUUGAAACUGGCAGUCUUGAGUGCAGUAGAGGUGGGCGGAAUUCGUGGUGUAGCGGUGAAAUGCUUAGAUAUCACGAAGAACUCCGAUUGCGAAGGCAGUUCACUGGACUGCAACUGACACUGAGGCUCGAAAGUGUGGGUAUCAAACAGGAUUAGAUACCCCUGUAGUC
rnacentral:rRNA from 1 species